GGCCGUAGCGCGGUGGUCCCACCUGACCCCAUGCCGAACUCAGAAGUGAAACGCCGUAGCGCCGAUGGUAGUGUGGGGUCUCCCCAUGCGAGAGUAGGGAACUGCCA
rnacentral:rRNA from 3 species